GCAUAUCAAUAAGCGGAGGAAAAGAAACUAACAAGGAUUCCCCUAGUAACUGCGAGUGAAGCGGGAAAAGCUCAAAUUUAAAAUCUGGUGGUCUUUGGCCAUCCGAGUUGUAAUCUAGAGAAGUGUUACCCGCGUCGGACCGUGUACAAGUCUCCUGGAAUGGAGCGUCAUAGAGGGUGAGAAUCCCGUCUUUGACACGGACGCCCGAUGCUUUGUGGUGCGCUCUCAACGAGUCGAGUUGUUUGGGAAUGCAGCUCAAAAUGGGUGGUAAAUUCCAUCUAAAGCUAAAUAUUGGCGAGAGACCGAUAGCGAACAAGUACCGUGAGGGAAAGAUGAAAAGAACUUUGGAAAGAGAGUUAAACAGUACGUGAAAUUGCUGAAAGGGAAACGCUUGAAGUCAGUCGCGUUGGCCGGAAAUCAGCCUUCCUUUUGGUUGAUGUACUUUCUGGUUGACGGGCCAGCAUCAGUUUUGACCGGUGGAAAAAGUUGUAGGGAAUGUGGCAUCUUCGGGUGUGUUAUAGCCCUGCUUCGUAUACAUCGGUUGGGACUGAGGAACUCAGCACGCCGCAAGGCCGGGGUUCGCCCACGUUCGUGCUUAGGAUGCUGGCAUAAUGGCUUUAAUCGACCCGUCUUGAAACACGGACCAAGGAGUCUAACAUGCCUGCGAGUGUUUGGGUGGAAAACCCGAGCGCGUAAUGAAAGUGAAAGUCGAGAUCCUUGUCAUGGGGAGCAUCGACGCCCGGACCAGACGUUUUCUGACGGUUCUGCGGUAGAGCAUGUAUGUUGGGACCCGAAAGAUGGUGAACUAUGCCUGAAUAGGGUGAAGCCAGAGGAAACUCUGGUGGAGGCUCGUAGCGAUUCUGACGUGCAAAUCGAUCGUCAAAUUUGGGUAUAGGGGCGAAAGACUAAUCGAACCCAUCUAGUAGCUGGUUCCUGCCGAAG
rnacentral:rRNA from 1 species